CUGCACACUGCUAUCUUUCCAUAUCCCUACCAUUUUUAUGAUGAAGGCGACAAUUCUAUAGGUCCAGGAGGAGAUAUUCGAGUCUACUUAGAAGGGCUAGCUAUGGCUGACAAUGUCCAACACUAUGUUUGUGCCUACUCAUUUGGCCAGCGAGCAAUAACAGGGGCAAAUCCAUCUUGGAAGUUCUAGCAACAAAUUAUUGAUAAAUUUGGGAAUUAUUCUUCUCCAACCUGAGCGGACACUGAUGAUAUUUGAGAGUGCAUCUAACUAAUGGUGACCAAAUGAGAAAUAGGAACUGAUUUGCCGUGAUUGUUCUCACCCCUGCCAACAGUAAAAGCAUUAUGGUAUCAAGCCGGACGAUUGAUCAUCAAGCCAGACCUCUGAUUUUGCAGUUUGACCUGUUACUAUUCGGUGCUUUAUACUGUUGUCGUCUAAUGUGAAAUGCAACACAUCUUUUACCAGUGAUUGGGAUGUUGAGUUGAAGAAAGCAUGGGAUCUACUACAAAUAGGUUUUAGGAUGCCAUAAAUACCUAUGUACUCCUUUCCCAUGUACACCUUGGAUUCAUGAAAUUUUACCAAGAGAUGAGAAUGGUGGUUAGAACAAUCUGAGCUGUGGCAAUGGAUGCUGGAGAUAAGAUAUGUACAUCCGAGGUGCUCUAUCUCUGAACAAAUGACAAUGAGCUGAUUUGAUUUUUAUUUUUGCUUU